UUCAGUAUUUUGACUGUGCGAAGGUAGCAUAAUCAUUUGUCUUUUAAUUGAAGGCUUGUAUGAAUGGUUUGAUGAGGGAAUAACUUUCUUUAUAUUAUAAAUUGAAUUUAAUUUUUUAGUUAAAAAGCUAAAAUUUUUAAAUGGGACGAGAAGACCCUAUAGAAUUUUAUUUUCUUUUUAAAAAUAAUGGUUUGGUUAUAUUUUUUGUUUUUAUUUAUAUAAAAUUUUGUUGGGGUGACAUUGAGAUUUAUUUAACUCUCAUAAUUAAAUUUUUAAUAAUUAUUAUUUUUAUGAUCCUAUUUUAUGGAUAUAUAGAUUAAAUUACCUUAGGGAUAACAGCGUAAUUUUUCCGGAGA
rnacentral:rRNA from 1 species